rnacentral:sRNA from 2 species
GCCGCCUAAACGCCGAGGCCCCGAUCGCGGGACGAGGCGUGCCGGGGACCCAGGUAGUCCCGGGGUGAAGCCGCUCCUUUCCGGGCGGCCGGGCAGCUUCCCGCCCGAACCCGUCAGCUAACCCGGUCGGCGGUUUCGAUGGGAAGA